rnacentral:rRNA from 1 species
UACGGAGGAUGCGAGCGUUAUCCGGAUUCAUUGGGUUUAAAGGGUGCGUAGGCGGUAUGGUAAGUCAGCGGUGAAAGUUUGUGGCUCAACCAUAAAAUUGCCGUUGAAACUGGAAGACUUGAGUGUGUUUGAGGUAGGCGGAAUGCGUGGUGUAGCGGUGAAAUGCUUAGAGAUCAUACAGAACACCGGUUGCGAAGGCAGCUUACCAAACUAUAUCUGACGUUGAGGCACGAAAGCGUGGGUAGCAAACAGG